GACGAACGCUGGCGGCGUGCUUAACACAUGCAAGUCGAACGGAAAGGCCCUGCUUUUGUGGGGUGCUCGAGUGGCGAACGGGUGAGUAACACGUGAGUAACCUGCCCUUGACUUUGGGAUAACUUCAGGAAACUGGGGCUAAUACCGGAUAGGAGCUCCUGCUGCAUGGUGGGGGUUGGAAAGUUUCGGCGGUUGGGGAUGGACUCGCGGCUUAUCAGCUUGUUGGUGGGGUAGUGGCUUACCAAGGCUUUGACGGGUAGCCGGCCUGGGAGGGUGACCGGCCACAUUGGGACUGAGAGACGGCCCAGACUCCUACGUGAGGCAGCAGUGGGGAAUAUUGCACAAUGGGCGGAAGCCUGAUGCAGCAACGCCGCGUGCGGGAUGACGGCUUUCGGGUUGUAAACCGCUUUCGCCUGUGACGAAGCGUGAGUGACGGUAAUGGGUAAAGAAGCACCGGCUAACUACGUG
rnacentral:rRNA from 1 species